GCUGACUGAGUUUCUGAACAAAGAGAAAAUGUCUGUUGUGAGGAACGUUGUAACCUGAUGUAGCCGGAUGGGCUACUCGCCUUUCUUUUCUCUCUCUCGCUCGCUCUUUCCUGCUCUCGCUCUCACUGCACAACUAGGUUAAUUGGGAACCCACCUUCAUAUCGAUUGCAGGCUGGCAUCAGGUAUAAAGCUAAGCUGGUGCUUCUCUUGAUCAUUCCUCCCAUGCAUUCAGCGCAAAGCAGCAGUAAAUGCUGGUACUCUGCGACAGACUGAUCAGCAAGAGUAGAUCAUAUGACAGCCACAGCGCGGCAGUUUGUUUUAUUCCGGCGUUGCGGAGAGAGGUGCUCGUGUGAUCCCCACCAGUGAGAGUAUAGCGCCUCCGGUCCUGGGGUAAGCCGUUAAAACUAUUUUUAUUAGCAUUAACAGCUACCACAGGCUAAGGUUACAUUUAUCUGUUUUAGGGUUUGAUCGCUGCCUUCACCUCCGUGGCAACUCGCACAGCCUUAAUUGAAGAAUCAAGACGCCUGCCUAGCCGUUGUUGUGAGGGCUCCUCCUCGGUGGAGCCUGCUGUCUUGUCUGGUUUUGAAUUGUUGUAUCUUGUCUUAUCUUGUUUUAUUAAGUAGGCCUACCAUUUCCUGGUUCGCCUGGUUUUAUUUUAUUUUAUCUCUGGACUGUUGCCUGUGCCCACGCUUCUGUGAUCGGGCUGAAGCAAUCCUUUGCCCGAGUGUCGUGCCGGGAAUUUUAAAUUGCCUCCGUUGCUGGUCUUAGCCUGUGGGGAGCCAGACCAGCUUGCGAUUGAGGCUGGGACAAUUACUACCAGUACGAGUGGACCCAUGGGGCAUAAGCCUUCCAGUGUGGUGUGUGUGUGCGUGUGUGCGAUUUCUUUUAUUAAAGUUAUUAAAGUGUGUUUUAGUUUUUUAUGAUCUGUAGCGAGCCAGACGCUCAGUGUCCCUUUUAUUCUUUUAACAUAUUUCUGUGUUUUAUUUCAGUGGACGAAGGACGUGCCAGUGGCCCUGGGACCUCAGGUGGUGGGUCGUUUUCACACUUUCUUUUGUACAGCACCUGGUGGGCUGCAGUGAUUUUCUUUUUGGGUCCACGGCUGCUGGUAAGUCCAAGUUCCAUGAUUGUUUUAUUUUCACUUUAGGACACUGUCAACAAUGACGCUACAUCUUGGUUUCUAAAUAUUUUAUUUAUUUUUACUAUAAAUAAAACUGUUUUAAUAUUGGAGCCAACCUGCCUCAGUGUGCAUCCCUUGAAUCUGUGCGGCCUCUUUUAUUCCUUUUUAUCUAUUUUUCUUAAACAUAUAUUUCCUGGGGGUGAAAUUCCCCUAGGUGGCGUUGUCAUUUUAUUAUUUCUUUUAUAACCCCGCCGACCACUUGGUCACACUAACAUCACUGUGUGAGCUCUGCAGCUCACACUUCUGUGACGUGAGCACUGAUGCCUGAGACUGGGCGCGUCGUCCAUUUUCACCAGCUGCAGCAGAACAUUGCAAACAUGCAGGGCAGAAGAACAGCUUUUAGAAGGAUCCUGGGAUAGAACAUGAAGGCCAGUCAUGCAAACGUUUGGACCUCCCUCUCACACCAGUGUCCUGAACUGGCUGCUGAGGCCAUGCAAGCAUUGCUCCUCUUUCCUUCACUUACCUCUGUGUCAUCAUUGUCAUCUUUGACUGUGAUGAAGAACAAGGACAGGUGGAAGAUGUUAGAGUGUGUUUGUCAUCCAUCCCUCUGAGAAUAGAGAAACAGGCUCACCAACAGUUAUUAUUGUUGGUGAUGACUGGAUGGUCUGUGUGUAAUAAAGCCUCAAGCAAAUAUUCAUGAUAAGUAAAGAAGGCUAAGGUUUUCAGUGCUCUGUUUGAAUAAGGGUAUGAUGUCCAUUGUGUUAAAACUGAACCAGUUAAAAAGUCUUUAAACUGCAGUUCAAACGAAACAGCUUCACUGGAAUGGUCCCAGUUUUUUCACUCUUAAUUUUUUGGAAACUUUCUGAUUUGUUAUUUGAAAAACAAAAACGCUGUGAGUUCAAAUAUUUUUUUAUAUUUAUAAGUUUUUAUUUCUUUGGGACUAACUAUGUAGAAAGGUUUAACAUAUAAAUAAUUUGUACAGUAUCUAGGAAUACAAAAGGCAGUUAUAUGAGUAUGAGGAUUAUUAGGGGUCCCUGGCCCCCAAAUGUUUGAGGACCCUGUUUUAUUGACCCCACAAAGAUUUUUGUGUUUCAGCAGGAUGAUAAAGAGUAACAGUAGUGCAGUCCACAACACACAAUCAAUAAACAAACGUUUAAAGUGCCAGGCGUCUGUAAGGAGCUCAUACAGUGAGUUUGUAUUUUGAGUUAACUGGAUCACUGUGAUGCUGUGAAUUAAAACAGAAUCUGUCUUAGCUGCUACUAAUCUAAAAUUCUCCUCUGACAAAUUCACAUUUAUCCUAUUCCAGUGUUUGUCUUAAUUUUUGCUACUGUAACUUUGCACUCUCCAAUAUCUGCUGAGAGACAACUAAUUUCCCAUGUGUGGGACUAAUAAAGGUGAUCUUAUCUUAAACUGGCUUUCGCUGUGGAGGCUUCAGAGACUCAUCUCUGCGUUUUGCAGAUGAUGUGGUUUCGCUGGCAGCCUCCAGCUCUCGCUGAAGACGUUUGCAGCCACGUGUGAAGAAGCAGGAUUGAUAAUCAGGGACAAGUCGCUGCCCCGAGUGGAGGAGUUUAGGUAUCUCAGGGUUUUGUUUGAGUGAGGCAGAUGGAUUUGGGCCCUGGGAGCAGUGAUGUGGACGCUGCACAGGUUUGUCUGAAUGCUGUUCACCGAACUUUAAAUGCGCCUCAGUGAGACGGCUUUUAAAGCCAUCAGCUGCGACUGAACCAGCUGCUAACGGAUUUGCACCGAGUGGCAGGAUCCCUGACAGAUUCCUGCUGCUGACAGGACUUUCCUUUUUGCGGCUCUUUUCUUCAUGUGUUCAGAAUUUUCCUCUGUUGUUUCUCAUUAUUACACAUAACUUAAUUUAUGGCCAUCUAUGGUUUGAUUUCUUUCAAUGUGGAUUGGAUGAGCUGUUACCAACAUCUGGUGAGAAUUUGAUGUCAGUGGCACCUUUAGAAAUAUAAUUUCCUUUUUAUGAACACUGAAUCAGGAAGCUGCAUCCACCUGCUCUGCUUCUCACAGAGAGCAGAAUAAUAGUAGCAUAGCUCAGCUCAGAGCCCACAUUAAUGAGUUCAAGUAGCAGCAGCAGGUGAGUGAACUGAAUUCUGCUGAGAGCGUCUUUGUCCAGCAGAGGGCCCCGGAGAGUUUGCCAUGACUAAGGAGCACCUUCAGAGUGGAUUUCAGGUGAAGCUCCAUCAGCAGUGUUGGGCUGGUUUGUUUCUCUGUGUCUUGCAGCCAGUUUGAGGCUCUGUGACUUUUAAUAAAUGUCCAACGAUCACAUGAAGCUUUCAGGGACAGACAUGCGAGGACCAGAGUGGAGCACAGUUCUUCUCCAAGAAGAUUCCUACGAUCACUGAGUUUGGGUUUCUGUGGAGGUCUGCCACACAAAGUGCUCCAGAACAACUAAAUUUAAUGUCAGGGGGUAUAAAAACUGAUGCAGGCUGACGAAGCACAGUGUGACAGAGCAGCACCUGUUUUACAGUCACGUGAAGAAAAUCCAAACUCUCAUUCUAACGUGGAUUAAAAUCGUGGCCUGUGGUCGGCCACACAGUCACACCGUGAAGAUGAACAAGUGUGGCUGUUAGACGUGCUGCAGGAGAACGCCUCUUCUCUCUAAAAGAACAUGUUAGCAUAGCUUAGGUUUGCAAAGACUUCAGGAACAAACGAGACCAAAGUGGAGCUUGUCGUGGAAUUUUGUAAAUAAAGGCAGGAGAACACACAUACACAUCAAAACAUAGCAGGUUCAUAGUAACGAACGUCUAACCUCGGGGCGUCGCAGCGCCCCUUUCAUACCAUCGCACAAACUCUGUGUAUCUUUUCAGUUACAACAGUCUUUUGUCCAACCCAGGCUGUUGUUGAACACAGAAGACUCCCACUAUCCUUUCCCAGGCCAGCACCUGCCGCUGGCCCUGAGCUUCAUCCCUCUGAGCAAAACAGUUUGCAGAUAACAUAGUGAAACAUCGUUAGGCCUAGCUAAGCAGUUUUCACAAGGUCAUGCUGACACAUACUUGCUUCAUCUUAAGCAGGCAAAGGUUAUACAAGAGUCAUACAGUGAGAUUCCAAACACAUAAAUUUAAUGUGAGGAUAAACUAGAAUUUUCCAUAAGAAGAUGUUUGUCUAAACGCACAGCACGUUUGGAGGAAACAGCUGUCAGCAGCUGUCAGCACAGCAGUGGAAGGAUGAUGAUCUGUGUGGACCAUGAACUGUAUACCAAAGUAGUCAGUGUGAGGCCGUCUGUCCCACGGCUAAACUGGGUCAUCAACAGGACAAUGAUCCAAGCACAGCAGCAGACUCUCCAACACAAUGGCUGAAAAAGGAAAGAAUGGAGCUGCUGCAGAGGUCUGAUGCUGGGGUCGGACCUCCAGACAGCUCUGCAUAUCUCAGCUAAGGCUUGUGACAGAGCUGUCGAGUUUGUUAGUCACGUGUCAUAACGAAUGUGUCGACAUUUUGUAAAGGUUAAAUCAACAGCAUACAACAUUUUUGUGAAUGUUUUUAUGUUGUCAUAUAAUACGCUUUAUUGUUUAUUCUCUAUUAGAACACCUUACUGUGAAAAAUGAUUAUUUUAUGUUGCUUUGUACAGAUCUCACAGCAUCGUUGGUGCACCUGUGUCCAAUAAAUGCAGAACAGGGAAGAAGGAUGAACCAAUAGGAAUGUUUGAGACAUGAUGGAAAGGCUUCACCAAACUGGUCACUCUUGGCCUCCCUCCUCUCACAUGUGCCUGGAUAAAGGAUUUCCUCACAA